CCCAUAGCCGAAGCGCGUGCUCUAGGGUACGCGCAAUGUGGCGUAUGGGAGUCGGCAUUCCUCCGAGUGCGACUGGCGGUGCAAGUCCUCAUGAGAGAGGCACUUCCCCGGAGCGGGUGCUAGGCCCGUACCGCCGCUGGUCCGCGCGCGGAGCGCCGUUCUCCCGGGAGUCGGGUUGCUUGGGAGUGCAGCCCAAAUUGGCAGGUAAACCCCUGCUAAGGCUAAAUAUCCCCGAGAGACCGAUAGCAAACAAGUACCAUGAGGGAAAGUUGAAAAGCACUUUGAAGAGAGAGUUCAAUAGUACGUGAAACCGUUCAGAGGUAAACGGGUGGGGCCUCGAAGUCCUAAGGCGGUGGUGUAUUCAGCUAGUGGCGUUCGGGCCUAUUCUCUGCGGUGGCUCCAGGAGCGGAGCCGCGCGAGGGUACAGUACGCGCGUUCACUAUCGCACUUGCACCCCUGUCCAACGGGGCGUCGCAACUGGUUGGGGUUAGGCUGUCGCGCGGAUGCGUCCGAAAGGUAGCCGACUUUCCUUCGGGAUCGGCGGUGUUACAGGCGGCGCGAUUCCCGACGRGCCUCCCGACCGGGGAAAAUUCCGAGCGCUCCCUUCCACGAGAGGAAGCGACCCCUAGAGCGGAGCAAUGGAGUCGUCUGGCGACACCUUAUCGGUGAACUGAGCGAAGUCGGUGACUCUAGCUUCAGGGCGUUGCUGGGAGCCGGGGGUUAGCGGCGAGUAGGUCGGUUACCCACCCGACCCGUCUUGAAACACGGACCAAGGAGUCCAAGGCGCGUGCGAGUUCCCGAGACUUGACCAGGCUCGAGGGCGCAAUGAAAGUGAAGGGGAGAAUUGGUCUCCCUGAGUUGGGAUCCUCGCCCCUCGCGGGCGGGGCGCACCAACGGCCCGUCCGUCUCGGCUUCGAGCGGGCGGAGCUAGAGCACGUGCCUUGGGACCCGAAAGAUGGUGAACUAUGCCUGGGCAGGACGAAGCCAGAGGAAACUCUGGUGGAGGUCCGUAGCGAUUCUGACGUGCAAAUCGAUCGUCAGACCUUGGUAUA
rnacentral:rRNA from 1 species